AACUGCCCUGCGCCUCCGCUGGCCCGCGUGAAACCCUCUCUGCUGCCUCGACUGACUGUCGUUUCCGUGUCUUGAUUGUGGCCUCUGCCUCUCCCCCUUCCGAUUUCGUUCGACUUCUUUCUACAGUUACUAAGCGCCCACUGUGUGCCCUGGAAGGGACUAGACUCAGCAGGAAAAACAUCCAGGCAAGUGGACAGCAUUUGCAACAGCCCAGCAAUAAGAAGGACCAUAUUCUACUUGGGAAAAGCCUGCCAGGAAACCUGUCAUUCAACCCUUUGCAAUAAAACAGCUCCUCAUGAAUGAAGCAAAAUAAAUCAGAAGUUGUGGGCUUUUAAACUCACUAAAUGAAAGCACAGCAUGCAUGCAGCCUCCCUCCAAAUUAAUCACCAGAUUAAAUGCAAGAUGUGCACACCAAAUCAAUAGCUUGUGACGGGGACCUCCUGCCUGUGCUUCAGGAAAAUUCCAUUUCCUUUCAGAUGUUGUCGCUUGAAAUGUCAGGAAGUUUCCAUUCAUCACCCGCCCUUGAAAAUGCCACCAUCACCAUACUUCAUGUUUCCUUGCUUUCUUUCUUCAGAGGAAUCCAAGCACCUUGCAGAGGGAGCCCACUCCUUGUCACAG
rnacentral:lncRNA from 1 species